rnacentral:rRNA from 1 species
AGAAAAGCGAGUAAGGGCACACGGUGGAUGCCUAGGCAUACAGAGGCGAAGAAGGACGUGUAAAGCUGCGAUAAGCUGCGGGGAGUUGCAUAAGAACUGUGAUCCGUGGAUUUCCGAAUGGGGCAACCCACCUUAAUUUAUUAGGGUACCACGCUUCGGCGUGGGGCAUACCCCCCGAACUGAAACAUCUAAGUAGGGGGAGGAAGAGAAAACAACAGUGAUUCCGCAAGUAGUGGCGAGCGAACGCGGAACAGCCCAAACCGCACCCUACGGGGUGCGGGGUAGUAGGACCUGCAUAAAGCAAGCGCUCUUAAAUCGAAGCUGCCUGGAAAGCAGCGCCACAGAAGGUGAAAGCCCUGUAGGUGUACGGAGCGAUUGUGGGCGGGUAUCCUGAGUAGCGCGAGGCCGGUGAAACCUUGCGUGAACCAGCCGGCACCAUCCGGUAAGGCUAAAUACAUCUGUAUGACCGAUAGUGAACCAGUACCGUGAGGGAAAGGUGAAAAGAACGCCGAGAAGGCGAGUGAAAUAGUACCUGAAACCGUGUGCUUACAAGCGGUCGGAGUCUCAGUUUACUGGGAUGACGGCGUGCCUUUUGUAUAAUGAGCCUACGAGUUACUCCUGUUGUGCGAGGUUAAGCCCCUGAGGGGUGGAGCCGUAGCGAAAGCGAGUCUGAACAGGGCGCGCAGUACAGCGGGGUAGACGCGAAACCAAGUGAUCUAUCCAUGGCCAGGGUGAAGUGGCGGUAAAACGCCAUGGAGGCCCGAACCCGUUGACGUUG